UACGUAGGGUGCAAGCGUUGUCCGGAAUUAUUGGGCGUAAAGAGCUCGUAGGCGGUUCGUCGCGUCGGCUGUGAAAACCCGGAGCUCAACUCCGGGCCUGCAGUCGAUACGGGCGGACUUGAGGCCAGUAGGGGUCACUAGAACUGACGGUGGAGCAGUGAAAUGCGUAGAUAUCGUCAGGAAUGCCGGUGGUGAAGACGGGUGACUGGGCUGGUUCUGACACUGAGGCACGAAAGCGUGGGGAGCGAACGGG
rnacentral:rRNA from 1 species